CCCCCAAAAAUCCCAAAAAACCCCAAAACCACCCCAAAAAACUCCACGGCCAGAAAAGGAUCCCAAAAACCUCGAAAAUUCCCCCAAAAAAACCCAAAAUCCGACAGCGAUCCUGAAUCCGCCUGAGGGAUCCGAGUGCUGCAGGUGAGACCCCAAAAAUCCCAAAAUUCCCCCAAAAAUCCCCCCAAAAACCCCAAAAUCCUGCAGAGACCCCAAAAGGAUCCGAGUGCUGCAGGUGAGACCCCAAAAAUCCCAAAAUCCCCCCAAAAAUCCCCCCAAAAAAUCCAAAAUCCUGCAGAGACCCCAAAAGGAUCCGAGUGCUGCAGGUGAGACCCCAAAAAUCCCAAAAUCCCCCCAAAAAUCCCCCCAAAAAAUCCAAAAUCCUGCAGAGACCCCAAAAGGAUCCGAGUGCUGCAGGUGAGACCCAAAAAAUCCCCAAAUCCCCCCAUAAAUCCCCCCAAAAUCCCAUAAAUGCACCACAGACACCCCAUAAAUCCCUCAGAUCACCCCAUAAGUACCCCAAAAAUCCCCCAAAAAUCCCUUAGAAAAA